rnacentral:rRNA from 1 species
ACGGAGGGUGCAAGCGUUAUCCGGAUUCACUGGGUUUAAAGGGUGCGUAGGCGGGCAGGUAAGUCAGUGGUGAAAUCCCCGAGCUUAACUCGGGAACUGCCGUUGAUACUAUCUGUCUUGAAUGUCGUGGAGGUGGGCGGAAUAUGUCAUGUAGCGGUGAAAUGCUUAGAUAUGACAUAGAACACCAAUUGCGAAGGCAGCUCGCUACACGAUGAUUGACGCUGAGGCACGAAAGCGUGGGGAUCAAACAGGAUUAGAUACCCUGGUAGUCCACGCCCUAAACGAUGAUUACUCGACAUCAGCGAUACACUGUUGGUGUCUGAGCGAAAGCAUUAAGUAAUCCACCUGGGAAGUACGACCGCAAGGUUG